GAGCUUCACUGGAGGUGGGUAAGUUUUGUUUCAGACCUGUAGGGCUGAAAGUGUUGACGAACACCUGGGAGAAAAUGUCCAGUCACCGUCACUGCAAAUGCGGGUCCGACCUUCAGGAGAGGGAUUUGGACUGAAGAUGUGGGUAGGAGCACCCUCUCUUAGACAAGAAAAAUUGAGACUAAGAGGAGAUGAGAUCGCUGGGGGAUCAUAAUUAAGUAAAAACUUGUAUCUCUAAAAUCCGUCCUGACAUUUUCAUUUAUAGGAUAUACAUAUGUAUGUAUCUGUUAUAAUCUGAAAUGUGUCCCUCAAAAUUCAUAUUUGAAGCCCUAACCUCCUCAUACCUCAGACUGGGACUGUAUUUGGAGAUGAGGCCUUUAAAAAGAUAAUUAAGGUAAAACGAAGGCAUUAGAAUGGGCUCUAAUCCAAUAUGUCAGGAGUCCUUAUAGGAAGAGGAGAUGAGGACACAGACACCCACAGAGGGAAGACGGUGUGAGGACACAGGGAGAGGACACCAUCUGCAAGCCCAGGAGGGAGGCCUCAGGAGAAACCAAUCCCGCCCACACCUGGAUGUGGGGCUUCCAGCCCCCAGCACUGCGAGGGAAUAAAGCUCCGUUGUGUAAGCUGCCGCAUCUGUGGUAUUUUAUUAUGGCAGCCCCAGCUACUAAUACAGUACCCCUACCGAUACAUACAUAUUUACCCACAUGUAGCCACACACAUGUGCACAUAUGUAAUCUUUUUGCCUAUAAAAAAGUAAGCAAUGCCUAAAAGUACAGGUGGAGAGAAGGCUAAAAAGCACAGGCUCGAAGAGACUGCCAAGAUACAACGAUCCAACAAAGACACAUCGUAUCAACAGUAAUGAUUUCCUAAAUGUGAAGGUAAUUUGGAUGGCUGGUUUAUAGUUUUCAUGCCCGGGAGUUUUCCAAGGCACAAUGUAUACCCUUUGCGGCAGCUUACUCUCCUGAAAUGUGCCUUCAUGAAAUUAGAUAAACAGGGAGAAGAUAUGAAGUACAUCUGCCUAACACCACGUUAGAAGAAUCCCCGGGCAUUUGCAUCUUAUGCGAUGAUAUGCUGGCAAACCUUGGCCAACUUCCAGUCUUGUCCUUAUGACAGGGGACUGCUGUGUUGAGUUCCCGUCUCAGGCCUCACAUCCACCUUGGCCCUGCCUUGGGAGCCUGUAGGUGUGGGCAGAAAAGAGGGACGCUGCCUUCCUGGCUGGGCCUUUCUUCACACACAGGCACGAGGACCCAAGCUCUAAAGGAUGAAGUCCCCAUGGUCUCCGAAGUUUUCAUUAUCAUCCCCCUCCUAAAGCUCCACCUUGGAGGCAAUGCACUGUAACAAAAGGACCAGCACAGUGCCCAGCACACAGAAAGCUAUCAAUCAAUGUCAGCCUUAACCAUUAUGUUGGUUGACUUGCCAUCCCUCUUCCUCAACUGCAAACUAUGUGAGAGAAAGAUUCAUGUAACCUUGGUAUUACACAACUCCAUCGUGGUGGGUUCAGUUGCAUUUGUCAAAUGAUUCAGAGUAGGACAACGGGAAUUUUCUUUACAACAUCACAGCAUUGUAAAGUCUUUGCUUUGCACGAAAGUGUGGGACUGAAGAAAUGAUUGUGCAGGUUGAAACUGUGAAGCAAUUUUAAGAAGCAACAAGGAAAAUUAUGAUUGUUUCAUAAUCUUCAAAAAAUUUUUAAAGUGUUAAGAACUGUUUUACUACUGGUCGUAAAUGUAUAAGAACAUUUAAAGAUAGCAAAUUGAAUACUUAUUUAGCCUGUCAUAAUUUAAAAAAUGAGAAACAUUGAGAAAUAGUGUUUUAUUUCUUUGUAAAAGACUUAUGGAGAGUAAAUUGAAAAGGGCUUUGCCACCUUCUCAUUGUGAAACUUACAGUAUGGACCAGGCAUCUUUUCUAUGCCUUGGCAAAUUGUCACAUUCCUUUCUAUAUUUGGAUAGGCUUCCUACAUUUUGUCCUGCACACUUUCAGUGCUGUGAAAUAUCUCCAAGAGUUUCUUUAAUAUGAAGUUUUUGCCAGCAUCUUUAUCCUGAGUCCCUCAAAAGACACAUCCAGAAUCUCUCAAAAGACAACAGCAUCAACUUUCCCACCAUCAGCUCUUUCUUCUCUAAACUCGUUUACGUCUGAGUCAACUUUCACCUCCUGCAUUCUCACUUUUUGUUUCUUUGCUAUACUUUCCUCUUCAUUGGCUACCUACCUCUCUUGAGUAUUCAUUUCUGUGAAAUGUCACGUGGGUUUGUCACUGGGAGCCAAGAGAGCAGCACGACCACACGCUUUGCUGUCUGUGUGGGAACUGAUAACACGGAAGGACUGAAGGACGUGAUGCGGUUAAUCACUGAUCAUGAUGCACAUCUGUUAUUACGUGGUGGUCUGUGGACUGCAGAGCAAGCAGCAGAGGUUGUCCCCCAUGCAAUCACUCACAGUUAAUGGUGACUGAAAUUGGAACCAUGUUGUUAGGGGGCUGGUGUUAUUUAACCUCAGUUGCCACAGGGCAAUGAAAAUUCGUGCGUUUGGGAACUAUGCAAGGUGAGGACUGCCUGAAUGUUCCAUAAUGUGAUGAGUGCCUCACAAACAGGGUGUAUAUUAUCACUGAGUUUUUUCAUUAUUCUUGACCUUCAAUAUAUAGACAUUCUUGUUGAUGGUAUCAGGUUGUUUCUGCGUGAAUGAGCUUUACUCCUCUGAGAAAUGGCAUUCCUGACCCUCCUCUUUGAAUCAAUUGCACAAAAGUAUCUGAAGGAAAUUUGCUUACCUGCUGCUUUCUAUGGAAGCUUUCCUGCAGCAUGACCUAGUGUCUGUUUCUGGUUGAUGAUUAACCAUGGGGAACAAGCGUUUGAGAUAAAGAAGUUGCAGAACUUUUUAGAGAAUGUAAUAUGUUAAUGUGCACUGGGACUCUCCCUGAGCUAUAUCAAGUUUCCUGGAUUCUGAAAUGCUAUAAUUUUAAAAGUGUCAUAAGGUUAAAACAGCUUUCUAAGAAGUGCCUUUGUUGGAAGAAUACCCAGGAAUGGUGCGCUGGACAGCUUUUGUACAAGUCUUGCAUUUUCUCAGAACUAUCUCUCAUCUUGGCCAUGGCAUCAGUCACAUCCUGAGUGGCUCACCUUGACUUGGGUUGCCUCCUACUGCAGUUCUCCUAAACUCUGGUGGGGGACACGGGCACAACCCACCCAAUACUCGUAUGUGCUUUACCUGGAAAUAAGGAGCAGAGGAGCUAGGGGAAGGAGCCGAUGGCUAAAUGUUCCUGCCUUUUUUCCCUCAGGCAGACAGUUCUAAGGUGCACGCUGUAGGUUGCUGGGACAACCCUGGCAAGAUCUUCCCCCAGACAUCCACCUUGGCGGCCGACUUAUUAACUCAUUGGUCUAUUGACUUUUGCUCCUUGCCUCGCCCCUGAUCCCUGUGCCCUCUUUCUAAUAAGCUACCUGCUGGUGAGGCUCUGCCUUGGGGGAAACCCAGGCUGAGGCAGGUGGGAUGUUAUAACCAGGGAGGCCUGAGUCCUGGGUCUUUGCCUGGGGUCCCCAAAUAGGAGAGGGAUUGGAGGAGGUAUUGUGGGGGAGAGUGUUGCAAAAGCCCAGAGGAAAGGAGUGCUGUUACCACAACAGAGGAGACAUGAACCUGCACAGACCAAAAACAGGAGAGAGAGAGGGAAAGAGAAAGAGAAGGGGGAGAAAGAAAGGGAGAGACAGAGGAAGGGAGAGAUGGGGAAAGAGGAGAGGAGAAAGGGAGGGAGAGAAAGAAAGGAGAUGGAGAGAGAAAAGGGUGGGGAGAGAGAUAAAGAGAGAGGUAAAGAGAGAGAGAGAAUCAUCUACUACAUGAUUUCUUUUUUUUUUUUUUCUGAGAUGGAGUUUCGCUCUUGUUGCCCAGGCUGGAGUGCAGUGGCGUGAUCUCGGCUCACUGCAACCUCCAUCUCCCGGGUUCAAGCGAUUCUCCUACCUCAGCUUCCUGAGUAGCUGGGAUUACAGGUGCCUGCCACCACGCCCAGCUAAUUUUUGUAUUUUUGGUAGAGACGGGGUUUCACCGUGUUGACCAGGCUGGUCUCGAACUCCUGACCUCAGGUGAUCCGCCCGCCUCGGCCUCCCAAAGUGCUGGGAUUACAGGUGUGAGCCACCGCGCCUGGCCAUGAUUUUUUUUUUAACCUAUAAAAGCCUUGAGUAGUGAUGGACGCGAUUCCUAGUAAUGUGGUUUACUAAAGGGUCAGGCUGUCAGUUCACCACAAAUACGCCACAGUAGUGUUUGGUAUUCUCUCAAUGUUCCACCCACCAGAGCAUACAAAACAGCCACAUUCCCCAAACACUUAAUUCUCAAAACAUACUUGUAGAGGAGGGAAGCCUAUUACUCCCAUUAGAAAGAUGGAAAACCAAGGUGAAAUGAUUAACUGAGCUACCAGGGCCUCAGAAGAAAGUCGCUGCUGAGUUUGGGAUUGUGUUUUCAACUUCCUGCCCACUGUGGGUGAGCUCCACCUUUUACUGGAACCAACUCCAAGGAGGAAGUUUUGCUGGGUUUCCUGGAAGGCAGAGGUUUGCAUCUGCAUGCCCUGCGUGGAGGCAUUGUAUUUGGGGGCAGGCAGGAGAAUACUGUAGCUGGUGUGCCCACAGAAAGGGAGGGAGAGAAGCCACUGGGAGUGAGCUGGGCUUGGGAUCGGGCUGUGUCCUCACCAACUGUCUGCCCAGGCAUGAACUUGCCACUGCUGUGGAAGAGUCUGACUGCAUCCAAGAAUGCCAAAGGUUGUGGCUGAACUCACUUCUCAACAGACUUGGAUCAUGUUCAUAUACUAUUCUUUAAAAGAUCACCAUUUGUAGUAGAAUGUCAAAAACCCAAAGAUGUUGCUCCCGAUGUUGAGCUGUAACUAUUUUCUGUGUUGGUGGAAAAAUAUGAGAGAAUUAGUUGCCAUUCAUGAAUCUCAGUGAUACACAGACAAAAGCAUGCUUCAAUUUUGUUUCUUUGUUUUUGAGUGGUUCUGAUUUAUUUUCAGCUUUUGGGUGAUGUCUGGGGCUGUUUAUUGAGGACGGGAUAAAUGGGGGGGGGACCAAAAUAUAUUUGGCAUUUAUUGGUGGUGUUUUAUAUUUGUGACUUGAUUUACUUCUUAUCACAACCCAGUGAGACACGUACUAUUAUCAUCCUUUUAAUAGAUGAGCAGCCUGGAGCUUAGAGAGGUUAGGUAGCAUGGACAUCAUCAGGCAAGUUAAAUGAGAAAGCCGCCACCCAUUCCCAGCUGGGGCUGACCCCAGCGCCUGUGUUAUUUCUGUUGCCCUGAGCCUCCCCAGGCUUCUUAACCCACAUGUACUCCUAGCUUCCAGCAGUGCUAAUUUACACCGUGUACCAGCUGGAGACAUUCUGGAGUGUAGACUGACGCAAUAAUCCCCAAUGAUAGGUUUGCCAUGUUUUUUUUAAAUGUGUUUUUUCCUACUUUUUAUUAUAGAUGUCAGAAUUUUCUCCUUCCCUGAGUUAUCUUUGGACUUAGAUGUAUAUAAAUGUAUCUGGUUGGAGGUGGGGGGAAAAGUGGAAGUGGAAGACCACAAAAGUAAAAAUUACAUUUGAGUGUAUUUCACCGAUUCUAAGAGGAAUGCUUUCUUCUGCUCCAACCACUCUGAAAUCUCCGGGUCCCAUACUCCCAUCGCAGCUGUGUGACAUGGUUGCCGUGGCCUUUGUGUGAACAUCAAAGCUCAGAGGAUGGGUGUCAGAGGCUUAGAUGAAAAUCCUGAAGACAAUUGUCUGGCACUUUUCAAAGCUAUACGGCCUCACCAAAACCCUCCUGGAAGCUCUUGAUGGCUCGAGGUUCAACAGUGUCUGGGAAGACAUGGAUAUAAAAGAUCCAGAAUCAAAGAGUGAUUCCAAAGAGUUAGAGGCUGACUGUGAAGUCUUAGGCAUACUGUAACCCAGUGAUUUACCUAUCUUUGCUUUUCUGCUCAUGCAGAAGAGUGAUAUAUGAUGAAUAAAUUCUAAGUUCAAUUAGGCCUAAAAGAGCUCUUGUAAUAUGCUUUAAAAAGUCUAAGUGAUAAAACAUUGUGACAGAUAGAGUUCUGUCAGUGUUUAUAUUUUCUUAGUCCUUCAUUAAAUAACAGUGUGUCUUACACCAAGGCAGUUUUGGAUUCCAUAAAAUAUGGUAGUAGUUAUGUUUCAUGUUUCAAUAGUCAUCAAUCUGUUUUUAAUGUAUUCAUGGAAAAAUAUGUGGGCCAUCUUGCUAUUUAACUAUUUUUGAAAUCUCAUGGAAGCCUGCCAAUGUUUUUGCAAUUUAGCUAAGAAGCUGUCUUGCUUUUUGAGAGGGGAAGUUCCAAUAUUGUAAGCCUAGGUUUCUGAAUAUAUUUUUGUUUUUUAAUAAAUGUAGAAAGAAUGUUUUUUGUUAAUCCUGGCAUUUGUCUAGAGCAAAAGCAAAAUAAAUGAAAAGUGAGGAAAAUUAAAAGGCUCACGUUAUAACAUGUGCUGUCUAGAGAAUAAAAACUCAUUUGUGCAAAGUUGGUAUGGCUUUUAUGAAAAUAUUUCAGUCCGAGCACCUUGCCUGUUUGCUGCAGUGCUGACUGACUCAUGAUUAGGGAUCUGUGUUGCCUUUAUUGCUCUCGGUUUGCCCUAUGGCUUGAUUUAUUAAUAUAUUUA
rnacentral:lncRNA from 1 species